rnacentral:misc_RNA from 1 species
CNGGAACACCUCCUUUCUGGAGAAACGAGCAAAUAUUUCUAGAAAGACUGGCAAAGCUAGAAAAUCUAUAAAGUAUAGUUAGUUGAAAGGUCAGCAAAUGGUUAGCUUUCCUUCUCCCACGCUUCUUGGCGCACUGUCUUACUUAAAUAGAGAAACAACGACACAAUUAUUAAUUAUUAGUUAUUAAUUAUUAAUUGUUGGAGUUCAUCGAGGUUCAAGUCCUUAUUUCUCACACUAAAAGUUAAGGUUUAGUAUUAGAGCAAACGCUUUUUACUCUUUUACUUUUUUGCCUUUUUACUUUUAAACGAUCUUUGACAUAUUGAUACAAGCAAAACUGUAAGUUAAAUUAACAACAACAGCUGAAAGUAUGAGCUACCAACCUAGCCGCAAGGCAAGGUUGCGAAGAAAGUAGAAAAGGGCGCACGGUGGAUGCCU